CCACUUCGGUGGGGAUUAGUGGCGAACGGGUGAGUAACACGUGGGCAAUCUGCCCUUCACUCUGGGACAAGCCCUGGAAACGGGGUCUAAUACCGGAUACCACUCUCGCAGGCAUCUGUGAGGGUUGAAAGCUCCGGCGGUGAAGGAUGAGCCCGCGGCCUAUCAGCUUGUUGGUGAGGUAAUGGCUCACCAAGGCGACGACGGGUAGCCGGCCUGAGAGGGCGACCGGCCACACUGGGACUGAGACACGGCCCAGACUCCUACGGGAGGCAGCAGUGGGGAAUAUUGCACAAUGGGCGAAAGCCUGAUGCAGCGACGCCGCGUGAGGGAUGACGGCCUUCGGGUUGUAAACCUCUUUCAGCAGGGAAGAAGCGAAAGUGACGGUACCUGCAGAAGAAGCGCCGGCUAACUACGUGCCAGCAGCCGCGGUAAUACGUAGGGCGCAAGCGUUGUCCGGAAUUAUUGGGCGUAAAGAGCUCGUAGGCGGCUUGUCACGUCGGGUGUGAAAGCCCGGGGCUUAACCCCGGGUCUGCAUUCGAUACGGGCUAGCUAGAGUGUGGUAGGGGAGAUCGGAAUUCCUGGUGUAGCGGUGAAAUGCGCAGAUAUCAGGAGGAACACCGGUGGCGAAGGCGGAUCUCUGGGCCAUUACUGACGCUGAGGAGCGAAAGCGUGGGGAGCGAACAGGAUUAGAUACCCUGGUAGUCCACGCCGUAAACGGUGGGAACUAGGUGUUGGCGACAUUCCACGUCGUCGGUGCCGCAGCUAACGCAUUAAGUUC
rnacentral:rRNA from 2 species